rnacentral:rRNA from 1 species
CAAGCGACUGUUUACCAAAAACAUAGGUUUCUGCUAAGUCGCAAGACGAUGUAUAGGAGCUGACGCCUGCCCGGUGCUGGAAGGUUAAGGGGAUCUGUUAGAGCAAUCGAAGCAGUGAACUUAAGCCCCAGUAAACGGCGGCCGUAACUAUAACGGUCCUAAGGUAGCGAAAUUCCUUGUCGGGUAAGUUCCGACCCGCACGAAAGGCGUAACGAUUUGGGCACUGUCUCAACAACAGACUCGGUGAAAUUGUAAUUCCGGUGAAGAUGCCGGAUACCUGCGACAGGACGGAAAGACCCCAUGGAGCUUUACUGUAGCUUGACAUUGGGUCUUGGUACUACAUGUACAGGAUAGGUGGGAGGCUUUGAAACCAGGACGCCAGUUUUGGCGGAGCCAUCCUUGGGAUACCACCCUUGUAGUACUGGGACUCUAACCAUAGGCCAUGAAUCUGGUCUUGGGACACUGUCAGGUGGGCAGUUUGACUGGGGCGGUCGCCUCCCAAAAGGUAACGGAGGCGCUCAAAGGUUCUCUCAGUACGGUCGGAAAUCGUACGUAGAGUGUAAAGGCAAAAGAGAGCUUGAUUGCAAGACAUACAGGUCGAGCAAGGAUGAAAAUCGGACUUAGUGAUCCGGUGGUUCUGCGUGGAAGGGCCAUCGCUCAACGGAUAAAAGCUACCCUGGGGAUAACAGGCUUAUCUCCCCCAAGAGUCCACAUCGACGGGGAGGUUUGGCACCUCGAUGUCGGCUCAUCACAUCCUGGGGCUGUAGUAGGUCCCAAGGGUUGGGCUGUUCGCCCAUUAAAGUGGUACGCGAGCUGGGUUCAGAACGUCGUGAGACAGUUCGGUCCCUAUCCGUCGCAGGCGUAGGAAAUUUGAGAAGACCUGUCCUUAGUACGAGAGGACCGGGAUGGACGUACCUCUGGUGUACCAGUUGUUCUGCCAAGGGCAUGGCUGGGUAGCUAUGUACGGAA